rnacentral:rRNA from 1 species
UACGUAGGGACCGAGCGUUGUCCGGAAUCAUUGGGCGUAAAGAGCGUGUAGGCGGCCAACUAAGUCCUGCGUGAAAUCUCGGGGCUCAACCCCGAGCGGUCGUGGGAAACUGGUUGGCUAGAGUGUGGUAGGGGAGAUCGGAAUUCCUGGUGUAGCGGUGAAAUGCGCAGAUAUCAGGAAGAACACCUAUGGCGAAGGCAGCUCUCUGGGACGGUACUGACGCUGAGACGCGAAAGCGUGGGGAGCGAACAGG